rnacentral:rRNA from 1 species
UACGGUAGGGUGCGAGCGUUUGUCCGGAAUUACUGGGCGUAAAGAGCUCGGUAGGUGGUUUGUCGCGUCGUUUGUGUAAGUCCACGGCUUAACUGUGGGAUGGCAGGCGAUACGGGCAUAACUUGAGUGCUGUAGGGGAGACUGGAAUUCCUGGUGUAGCGGUGAAAUGACGCAGAUAUCAGGAGGAACACCGAUGGCGAAGGCAGGUCUCUGGGCAGUAACUGACGCUGAGGAGCGAAAGCAUGGGUAGCGAACGG